ACGCUCGACACCUACGGGAGGCAGCAGUGAGGGAUAUUGGUCAAUGGGGGAAACCCUGAACCAGCAACGCCGCGUGAGGGAUGACGGUCUUCGGAUUGUAAACCUCUGUCCUCUGUGAAGAUAAUGACGGUAGCAGAGGAGGAAGCUCCGGCUAACUACGUGCCAACAGCCGCGGUAAUCUGAGCGGGCUGGGCAAGGC
rnacentral:rRNA from 1 species